GUCUGACAACAACAUACUCAUGUUACUCCAGGACUGGAGAGUCACUACGAGCUGUGUGUGGAAGCUAGGCUAACUAGCUGAGCAAACUUAGCGCCCUUGGAAGCGGAAAAAGGCGAAUCCUUCAGUCCUUGAAGCCAUCAGAUAGCUAACACAUCCAAAGAGAUAAAGCAUACAUUGCUGGAUUUUCCCCGCACAGUAUGGACACGCUGAGCUGUCAACAGUGGCGAAGGCGCGGGGAGGGGGUCGGUUUGUAGCUUUUGGGAAGAGGUCAGGCCUCUUGCAGACUUUUCUAAAGCAGAUUAACCUGAUACUUGAAUAAACAAAAACAAAAGUGAUGAAUCCCCAAACAUCUCAGGCUUGGCUGAUGACUCAAACAUUGGGCCUAUUGAUCUCCACUCAAGCAUCCUGCGGGGCGAGUUCCUUCUCUCACCGGGGGCCUCUCUGAACAGGCAACACACAGUGCCUAACAAAUGGAGUAAUGACUUUGCUUUGCUGUUUUAACAAGGUGUGGGCCAUAAAAUAUCUCUUAGCCUCAUGACGAGGCCCACUUGAUUAUCAAUGGCAAUCUGGCAACAUGCUACUUCACCGCUGAGGGGCUGCUGGUGUCUACACGUGCAGGUCAGGACAUUUAGCUACAAUGAGGGCAUGUCACUCUACAGAUACUUCCUAACCACUCUGAAAUAAAGCAGAUGAAACACACACUCUCAAAUGAGGCAUCUUUAAUGUCGACAUUUGAAUGUACUGUGUGUCAUACACUUUUUCAAAAAUGAUUUUUUUAUGCCUUCUCCAAACCCUUUGACUGAAAUUAUAUUACCAAAAAUGUUAUCUCAAUUGGACCACUCAGUGAAAAUUAAUCACUGUAUUGUAACACCAA